CGUUUUUAGAGAAGGUUGAAUAUUCUUCAUGCGUAUGAAAAUGAACAAAUGUUCAUUUGUUUUUAAUGAAUUCCUUGCUAGUGGCGUGGCGUGUAGCAAAGAGUUCGAGGUUGUGAGUCAGUGCUGUUUUCUAUCGUACAUUGGUCACCUGUGAAUCAUUAGCAAUAUUUAUAAAAAAAAUUUUACAGUGGAAAUGCUAAUAUUGCAUGAACAGUUUAAGUACUUUUCCAUGAUCCGAGUGCUCUCUUCAGAGAAGACUCCCAAGGGAUAGGCUAGAGAUGACAUAGGCUAGCUACCUACUUUAGAAAGCAGCUUCCAGAGUACGAGCCGCGGAGAGGUGAAUGGCGCUGUGUGGUAGAGAGAUUGACACGCUGCUGCUGUGUCAAUUGCUACGUCGUCGUAAUAAAGCAGCUGUGGGCCUUUGUUCCACAGAUGCUCACCCUUGAUUAAAGGAGUUCGAUGGUUUCAGAUCACCAGCCCUUUGUAAGUUUGCGAGACUUUUUGAAUGCCCAUCUAUCUGAAGGUGAACGUCACAAGCUUUCCGCCAUUGUUGAUGCAAGUAAUGCUCCAAACACAACGCCGUUGUCUGUUUACAUUAACGGGACGGUACCCGCUACUGCCGAUGGCUCUGAUUGGACGAACAUUUCAAAUUCUGUUGAUGAGGAAGACUCUUUCAAGGAGCUGAAGAAACCAUUUGCU